rnacentral:rRNA from 1 species
UGCCUACGGGGGGCAGCAGUAGGGAAUCUUCCACAAUGGACGAAAGUCUGAUGGAGCAACGCCGCGUGAGCGAAGAAGGGUUUCGGCUCGUAAAACCCUGUUGUUAGAGAAGAAAGUGCGUGAGAGUAACUGUUCACGUUUCGACGGUAUCUAACCAGAAAGCCACGGCUAACUACGUGCCAGCAGCCGCGGUAAUACGUAGGUGGCAAGCGUUAUCCGGAUUUAUUGGGCGUAAAGGGAACGCAGGCGGGCUUUUUAGUCUGAAUUGAAAGCCUUCGGUUUAACCGGAGUAGUGCAAUGG